UACGUAGGGUGCAAGCGUUAAUCGGAAUUACUGGGCGUAAAGCGUGCGCAGGCGGUUGUGCAAGACAGAUGUGAAAUCCCCGGGCUCAACCUGGGAAUUGCAUUUGUGACUGCACGGCUAGAGUGUGUCAGGAGGGGGGUAGAAUUCCACGUGUAGCAGUGAAAUGCGUAGAGAUGUGGAGGAAUACCGAUGGCGAAGGCAGCCCCCUGGGAUAACACUGACGCUCAUGCACGAAAGCGUGGGGAGCAAACAGG
rnacentral:rRNA from 1 species